GCCGGGCAUGGUGGCGGGUGCCUGUAAUCCCAGCUACUCGGGAGGCUGAGGCAGGAGAAUUGCUUGAACCCAGGAGGCAGAGGUUGCAGUGAGCAGAGAUCGUGUCACUGCACUCCAGCCUGGGUGAUAGAGCAAGACUCUGUCUCAA
rnacentral:SRP_RNA from 1 species